rnacentral:rRNA from 1 species
AACGAACGCUGGCGGCGUGGAUAAGACAUGCAAGUCGAACGGGACAUUUUUAGUAGUAAUAUUAGAGAUGUUCAGUGGCGAACGGGUGCGUAACACGUGGAUACAUUCCGGAAAGCGGGGGAUAGCCCAGGGAAACUUGGAUUAAUACCGCAUGUGGUCGCAAGACUAAAGACGGGGAUCGAAAGACCUGUCACUUUCCGAUUGGUCCGCGGCCUAUCAGCUAGUUGGCGGGGUAAAAGCCCACCAAGGCGACGACGGGUAGCUGGUCUUAGAGGACGACCAGCCACACCGGAACUGAGACACGGUCCAGACACCUACGGGUGGCAGCAGUCGAGAAUCUUUCACAAUGGGGGCAACCCUGAUGGAGCGACGCCGCGUGGAGGAUAAGGUCUUCGGAUUGUAAACUCCUGUCAUGCGGGAACAAGGUUGCAGGGCUAAUACCCGUGCAAAUUGAUGGUACCGCAAGAGGAAGAGACGGCUAACUCUGUGCCAGCAGCCGCCGUAAAAC